rnacentral:ncRNA from 1 species
CUUAUACAGAGUGGUGGAGGGACUGGCCCGAUGAAGCCCGGCAACCUGCGUUUGCAAGGUGCCAAAUCCUGAGGCAAGCCGAGAUAUGAG